rnacentral:rRNA from 1 species
UACGGGGGGAGCAAGCGUUGUUCGGAUUUACUGGGCGUAAAGGGCGCGUAGGCGGCCAGCACAAGUCAGUUGUGAAAUCUCCGAGCUUAACUCGGAAAGGUCAACUGAUACUGUGCGGCUAGAGUGCGGAAGGGGCAACUGGAAUUCUUGGUGUAGCGGUGAAAUGCGUAGAUAUCAAGAGGAACACCUGCGGCGAAGGCGGGUUGCUGGGCCGACACUGACGCUGAGGCGCGAAAGCUAGGGUAGCGAACGGG